AUUGAACGCUGGCGGCCGGCCUAACACAUGCAAGUCGAGCGGAGCGGCGGACGGGUGAGUAAUGCCUAGGAAUCUGCCUGGUAGUGGGGGAUAACGUCAGGAAACGGGCGCUAAUACCGCAUACUAUCAGAUGAGCCUAGGUCGGUUUAGCUAGUUGGUGGGGUAAAGGCCUACCAGGGCGCCGAUCCGUAACUGGUCUGAGAGGAGGAUCAGUCACCUGGGACCUGGGACACGGUCCAGACUCCGACGGAGGGAAGCAGGGGGGAAUAUUGGACAAUGGGCGAAAGCCUGAUCCAGCCAUGCCGCGUGUGUGAAGAAGGUCUUCGGAUUGUAAAGCAUUUUAAGUUGGGAGGCGUUACCAACAGAAUAAGCACCGGCUAACUUCGUGCCAGCAGCCGCGGUAAUUC
rnacentral:rRNA from 1 species